GCCUAAGCCUAAGCCUAAGCCUAAGUCUAAGCCUAAGCCUAGGCCUAGGCCUAAGCCUAAGCCUAAGCAU
ensembl:ncRNA F16B3.4 ncRNA